CCUACGGGCGGCAGCAGUGAGGAAUAUUGGUCAAUGGACGCGAGCCUGAACCAGCCAAGCCGCGUGCAGGAUGACUGCUCUAUGGGUUGUAAACUUCUUUUAUACAGGAAUAAAGUGCGGCACGUGUGCCUUUUUGUAUGUACUUUAUGAAUAAGGAUCGGCUAACUCCGUGCCAGCAGCCGCGGUAAUACGGAGGAUCCGAGCGUUAUCCGGAUUUAUUGGGUUUAAAGGGUGCGUAGAUGGUUUGCUAAGUCAGUUGUGAAAGUUUGCGGCUCAACCGUAAAAUUGCAACUGAUACUGGCAGUCUUGAGUACAGUUGAGGUAGGCGGAAUGUGUGGUGUAGCGGUGAAAUGCUUAGAUAUCACACAGAACUCCGAUUGCGAAGGCAGCUUACUAAACUGCCACUGACAUUGAUGCUCGAAAGUGUGGGUAUCAAACAGGAUUAGAUACCCGUGUAGUC
rnacentral:rRNA from 1 species